rnacentral:rRNA from 1 species
GGUAACAGGGAUCAGCUUGCUGAUUCGCUGACGAGUGGCGGACGGGUGAGUAAUGUCUGGGAAACUGCCUGAUGGAGGGGGAUAACUACUGGAAACGGUAGCUAAUACCGCAUAACGUCGCAAGACCAAAGAGGGGGACCUUCGGGCCUCUUGCCAUCGGAUGUGCCCAGAUGGGAUUAGCUAGUAGGUGGGGUAACGGCUCACCUAGGCGACGAUCCCUAGCUGGUCUGAGAGGAUGACCAGCCACACUGGAACUGAGACACGGUCCAGACUCCUACGGGAGGCAGCAGUGGGGAAUAUUGCACAAUGGGCGCAAGCCUGAUGCAGCCAUGCCGCGUGUAUGAAGAAGGCCUUCGGGUUGUAAAGUACUUUCAGCGGGGAGGAAGGGAGUAAAGUUAAUACCUUUGCUCAUUGACGUUACCCGCAGAAGAAGCACCGGCUAACUCCGUGCCAGCAGCCGCGGUAAUACGGAGGGUGCAAGCGUUAAUCGGAAUUACUGGGCGUAAAGCGCACGCAGGCGGUUUGUUAAGUCAGAUGUGAAAUCCCCGGGCUCAACCUGGGAACUGCAUCUGAUACUGGCAAGCUUGAGUCUCGUAGAGGGGGGUAGAAUUCCAGGUGUAGCGGUGAAAUGCGUAGAGAUCUGGAGGAAUACCGGUGGCGAAGGCGGCCCCCUGGACGAAGACUGGCGCUCAGGUGCGAAAGCGUGAGGAGCAAACAGGAUUAGAUACCCUGGUAG